rnacentral:rRNA from 1 species
UCGAGCGAGGCGGGUAGCAAUACCCAGUCGAGCGGCGAACGGGUGAGUAACACGUGGAUAACCUGCCCUGAGGUGGGGGAUAACCCGGGGAAACUCGGGCUAAUACCGCAUGAUACCGAGAGGUCAAAGGGGGCUCGCAAGAGCUCUCGCCAUAGGAGGGGUCCGCGUCCGAUUAGCUAGUUGGUAGGGUAACGGCCUACCAAGGCGACGAUCGGUAGCCGGCCUGAGAGGGUGAUCGGCCACACUGGAACUGAGACACGGUCCAGACUCCUACGGGAGGCAGCAGUGGGGAAUUUUGCGCAAUGGGCUAACGCCUGACGCAGCAACGCCGCGUGGAGGAUGAAGGUCUUCGGAUUGUAAACUCCUGUCAGCAGGGAAAAAGCGAAUUGGCCUAAUACGCCAGUGAGUUGAUUGUACCUGCAGAGGAAGCCCCGGCUAACUCUGUGCCAGCAGCCGCGGUAAUACAGAGGGGGCAAGCGUUAUUCGGAAUUAUUGGGCGUAAAGGGCGCGUAGGCGGCUUGGCAAGUGGAUGGUGAAAUCCCUCGGCUUAACCGAGGAACUGCCGUCCAAACUGCUUUGCUUGAGGCCGGGAGAGGCGAGUGGAAUUCCCAGUGUAGCGGUGAAAUGCGUAGAUAUUGGGAGGAACACCAGUGGCGAAGGCGGCUCGCUGGACCGGUUCUGACGCUGAGGCGCGAAAGCGUGGGGAGCAAACGGGAUUAGAUACCCCGGUAGUCCACGCUGUAAACGAUGAGUGCUUGGUGUAGCGGGUAUCGACCCCUGCUGUGCCGAAGUCAACA